rnacentral:SRP_RNA from 13 species
AGAAGCGGGACGCCGCACUAGAGCCGAUGUCCCCUGUGGAUUCAUCGAAGGAGCUGGAGAAUCAGAUUGGCCAAGGAGAGGAUGGACCGGCCGAGGC